UUGGAGGGCAAGUCUGGUGCCAGCAGCCGCGGUAAUUCCAGCUCCAAUAGCGUAUAUUAAAGUUGUUGCAGUUAAAAAGCUCGUAGUUGAAUUUCGGGAUCAAUAUAUCGGUCGUGCCAUCGGUACGUACUGGUAUCAUUGGUUUCUCCUUUCUGACGAACCAUGAUGUCAUUAAUUUGGUGUCAUGGGAAGCUAGGACUGUUACUUUGAAAAAAUUAGAGUGUUUAAAGCAGGCUUUAGCUUGAAUACAUUAGCAUGGAAUAAUGAAAUAGGACGUUCGAUCCUAUUUUGUUGGUUUCUAGGAUUGACGUAAUGAUUAAUAGGGAUAGUUGGGGGCAUUAGUAUUCAAUUGUCAGAGGUGAAAUUCUUGGAUUUAUUGAAGACUAACUACUGCGAAAGCAUUUGCCAAGGAUGUUUUCAUUAAUCAAGAACGAAAGUUAGGGGAUCGAAGACGAUCAGAUACCGUCGUAGUCUUAACCAUAAACUAUGCCGACUAGGGAUCGGAUGAUGUUAAUUUUUUAAUGACUCAUUCGGCGCCUUACGGGAAAC
rnacentral:rRNA from 1 species